GAUGAACGCUGGCGGCGUGCCUAAUACAUGCAAGUCGAGCGAACAGACGAGGAGCUUGCUCCUCUGACGUUAGCGGCGGACGGGUGAGUAACACGUGGAUAACCUACCUAUAAGACUGGGAUAACUUCGGGAAACCGGAGCUAAUACCGGAUAAUAUAUUGAACCGCAUGGUUCAAUAGUGAAAGACGGUUUUGCUGUCACUUAUAGAUGGAUCCGCGCCGCAUUAGCUAGUUGGUAAGGUAACGGCUUACCAAGGCAACGAUGCGUAGCCGACCUGAGAGGGUGAUCGGCCACACUGGAACUGAGACACGGUCCAGACUCCUACGGGAGGCAGCAGUAGGGAAUCUUCCGCAAUGGGCGAAAGCCUGACGGAGCAACGCCGCGUGAGUGAUGAAUGUCUUCGGAUCGUAAAACUCUGUUAUUAGGGAAGAACAAAUGUGUAAGUAACUAUGCACGUCUUGACGGUACCUAAUCAGAAAGCCACGGCUAACUACGUG
rnacentral:rRNA from 1 species